ACAUUUUAAGUAUAAUAGUUGUACACUUACCUUCCAAGUAAGAAGAUUAAUAAAUUUAAAAAAUGUA